GGUAUCUCAGUUCCACCACAGCUUGUGUACCAAGAUAUCUCAUACUGUUGUACAGUUUUUAAGUUCAUGUACUCAACAAGAUAUUUCAUACUGUUGCAGAUAAGUU